CAAUAGCGUAUAUUAAAGUUGUUGCAGUUAAAAAGCUCGUAGUUGGAUUUCUGGUCGGAAGCUCCUGUCCUCUGAUGAGCGUACAAGUGCGUCCUACCAUCCUUCUGUUAACCUUUAAGGCUUUCGCGGCUUUCUAGGGGCUCAGAUAUUUUACCUUGAGAAAAUUAGAGUGUUUCAGGCAGGCUAGCGCCGGAAUACAUUAGCAUGGAAUAAUGGAAUAGGACUUUUGCCUCUUAUGUUGGUCAUGAGGCUCGAGUAAUGAUUAAUAGGGAUAGUUGGGGGCAUUAGUACUUAACUGUCAGAGGUGAAAUUCUCGGAUUUGUUAAAGACUAACUUAUGCGAAAGCAUUUGCCAAGGAUGUUUUCAUUAA
rnacentral:rRNA from 1 species